GCGGCAGGCUUACACAUGCAAGUCGAGGGGUAACAGGUAGGAAGCUUGCUUUCUAUGCUGACGACCGGCGCACGGGUGAGUAACGCGUAUGCAACCUACCUUUAACAGGAAGAUAGCCCCGAGAAAUCGGGAUUAAUACUCCAUAAUAAUAAUAGAUCGCAUGAUUUUUUAUUUAAAGCUUCGGCGGUUAAAGAUGGGCAUGCGUGACAUUAGUUAGUUGGUGAGGUAACGGCUCACCAAGACAACGAUGUCUAGGGGUUCUGAGAGGAUUGUCCCCCACACUGGUACUGAGACACGGACCAGACUCCUACGGGAGGCAGCAGUGAGGAAUAUUGGUCAAUGGGCGAGAGCCUGAACCAGCCAUGCCGCGUGCAGGAAGAAUGCGCUAUGCGUUGUAAACUGCUUUUCUACAGGAAGAAACCUACCCUCGUGAGGGUAGCUGCCGGUACUGUAGGAAUAAGCACCGGCUAACUCCGUGCCAGCAGCCGCGGUAAUACG
rnacentral:rRNA from 1 species